UACGGGGGGGGCAAGCGUUGUUCGGAAUUACUGGGCGUAAAGCGCGCGCAGGUGGUUUCUUAAGUCUGAUGUGAAAGCCCACGGCUCAACCGUGGAGGGUCAUUGGAAACUGGGAGACUUGAGUGCAGAAGAGGAAAGUGGAAUUCCAUGUGUAGCGGUGAAAUGCGUAGAGAUAUGGAGGAACACCAGUGGCGAAGGCGACUUUCUGGUCUGUAACUGACACUGAGGCGCGAAAGCGUGGGGAGCAAACAGG
rnacentral:rRNA from 1 species